rnacentral:rRNA from 1 species
ACGAGUGGCGGACGGGUGAGUAAUGUCUGGGAAACUGCCCGGUGGAGGGGGAUAACUACUGGAAACGGUAGCUAAUACCGUAUAACGUCGCAAGACCAAAGAGGGGGACCUUCGGGCCUCUUGCCACCGGAUGUGCCCAGAUGGGAUUAGCUUGUUGGUGAGGUAACGGCUCACCAAGGCGACGAUCCCUAGCUGGUCUGAGAGGAUGACCAGCCACACUGGAACUGAGACACGGUCCAGACUCCUACGGAAGGCAGCAG